AGGCCCUGUGUGAGAAGCCCCCUUCCCAGUGAACUUUCCCUUGUGUGCCCGCGUGGACAGCCAACAGGGGGAGCAGUGCGAGCGUGAAGGCAGACAGUGGCCUGGCCCAGUCUGAUGGUGCAGAAGCUGAGCUGCAGAGGCGUUAGGUACCUGCCUCAUAAGUGGUAGAGACUCCAGUGUCACCCUGCCCCUCACGUUCGGAGCCCCCGAGGGAGGGUCUGCCGGGCAGCUCAGCCCAGCACUCUGUAAGGAAAUCUUCAGUGCCACUGCCCAGGAUGUCUUCCCGGGGAUUGGGCCUGAAUGUCUUGACCAUGCCGUGCUGGAGGGAGAGACCCACCGACCCUGUGGGGCUGGUCCCUACAUCUGGCGCUCUGACGUGGGGCUCUCCCUCGCUGUGUGAAGUUGCACCCUGAGUGCGGGAUCAGCGGAGGAGUUCAACGAGAGAUUCCUGAGGAUUGCAGUCUAUAAACUUGGUGGAAAAGAACUACAGCCUGUGUGGGUCCCCUCCCGACAAUUAAAAUUGCACCAUAACUCCAAAGAUGAAACGCUCCCAGAAAGAAAAGGCAA
rnacentral:lncRNA from 10 species